CCCUUAGAUGUCCUGGGCCGCACGCGCGCUACACUGAGUGUCUGAGAUACGAGUCUGCCUGGUCCGGCAAGGUCUAGGUAAUCGCUAAAAGACACAUCAUGCUUGGGAUAGAUUAUUGCAAAUAUUAAUCUUGAACGAGGAAUUCCUAGUAAGCGCAAGUCAACAGCUUGCGUUGAUUACGUCCCUGCCCUUUGUACACACCGCCCGUCGCUACUACUGAUUGGAUGUUUAAGCGAGGUUCUCGAACUGCUAGCGACUUAGCUUCGGUGAGGUCGCAGUGUGGGAAGUGAACCGAGCUUUGUUGUCUAGAGGAAGUAAAAGUCGUAACA
rnacentral:rRNA from 1 species